rnacentral:rRNA from 1 species
UACGGAGGGGGCUAGCGUUGUCCGAAGUUACUGGGCGUAAAGCGCGCGUAGGCGGGUUGGUAAGUCCGCUGUGAAAGCCCGGAGCUCAACUCCGGAGGGUCGGUGGAUACUGCCAGUCUUGAAGGUGCUAGGGGGAGAUGGAAUUACCGGUGUAGCGGUGAAAUGCGUAGAUAUCGGUAGGAACACCAGUGGCGAAGGCGGUCUCCUGGGGCAUUCUUGACGCUGAUGCGCGAAAGCUGGGGGAGCGAACGGG